rnacentral:rRNA from 1 species
AGGAAAGCAGGGGAUCGCAAGACCUUGCGCUUUUGGAGCGGCCGAUGUCUGAUUAGCUAGUUGGUGAGGUAAAGGCUUACCAAGGCUUCGAUCAGUAGCUGGCCUGAGAGGACGACCAGCCACACUGGGACUGAGACACGGCCCAGACUCCUACGGGAGGCAGCAGUGGGGAAUUUUGGACAAUGGGGGAAACCCUGAUCCAGCCAUGCCGCGUGAGUGAAGAAGGCCUUCGGGUUGUAAAGCUCUUUCAGCCGGAACGAAAAGGUUACGGUUAAUACCCGUGACUAAUGACGGUACCGGAAGAAGAAGCACCGGCUAACUACGUGCCAGCAGCCGCGGUAAUACGUAGGGUGCGAGCGUUAAUCGGAAUUACUGGGCGUAAAGCGUGCGCAGGCGGUUUUGUAAGUCAGAUGUGAAAUCCCCGGGCUCAACCUGGGAACUGCGUUUGAAACUACAAAGCU